CCUACGGGAUGCUGCAGUGAGGAAUAUUGGUCAAUGGGCGCGAGCCUGAACCAGCCAAGUAGCGUGAAGGAUGACUGCCCUACGGGUUGUAAACUUCUUUUAUAAAGGAAUAAAGUGAUGCACGUGUGCCUUUUUGUAUGUACUUUAUGAAUCAGGAGCGGCAAACUCCGUGCCAGCAGCCGCGGUAAGACGGAGGAUCCGAGCGUUAUCCGGAUUUAUUGGGUUUAAAGGGAGCGUAGAUGGGUUGUUAAGUCAGUUGUGAAAUUGUGCGGCUCAACCGUAAAAUUGCAAUUGAUACUGGCAGUCUUGAGUACAGUUGGGGUAGGCGGAAUUCGUGGUGUAGCGGUGAAAUGCUUAGAUAUCACGAAGAACUACGAUUGCGAAGGCAGCUUACUAAACUGCCACUGACAUUGAUGGUCGAAAGUGUGGGUAUCAAACAGGAUUAGGUACCCUUGUAGUC
rnacentral:rRNA from 1 species